AGCGAACGCUGGCGGCAGGCCUAACACAUGCAAGUCGAACGGACCCUUCGGGGUUAGUGGCGGACGGGUGAGUAACACGUGGGAACGUGCCUUUAGGUUCGGAAUAGCUCCUGGAAACGGGUGGUAAUGCCGAGUGUGCCCUUCGGGGGAAAGAUUUAUCGCCUUUAGAGCGGCCCGCGUCGGAUUAGCUAGUUGGUGAGGUAAUGGCUCACCAAGGCGACGAUCAGUAGCUGGUCUGAGAGGAUGACCAGCCACAUUGGGACUGAGACACGGCGCAAACUCCUACGGGGGGCAGCAGUGGGGAAUCUUGCGCAAUGGGCGAAAGCCUGACGCAGCCAUGCCGCGUGGAUGAUGAAGGUCUUAGGGUUGUAAAGCUCUUUCGCCGGAGAAGAUAAUGACGGUAGCCGGAGAAGAAGCCCCGGCUAACUUCGUGCCAGCAGCCGCGGUAAGAC
rnacentral:rRNA from 1 species